rnacentral:rRNA from 1 species
UCCGACUGUUUAACAAAAACAUAACCUUUAGCCAAACAAAUAUUAAAGGCAACGCCUGCCCAGUGAACAAUUAAACGGCCGCGGUACCCUAACCGUGCAAAGGUAGCGCAAUCACUUGUCUAUUAAUUGUAGACCCGUAUGAAAGGCAAAAUGAGGGCCUAACUGUCUCUUAUAAUAAAUCAAUUAAACUGAUCUCCCAGUCCAAAAGCUGGAAUACCAACAUAAGACCAGAAGACCCUGUGAAGCUUAAACUAAACUAUUAAACCACUUAAUAAAUACUUUCGGUUGGGGCGACCUUGGAAAAAAAAAGAACUUCCAAAGGCCAACAAGCCAAACAUUGACCCAGCUAAAGCUGAUAACUGAACCAAGUUACUCCAGGGAUAACAGCGCUAUCUUCCUCAAGAGCCCAUAUCAAAAGGAAGGUUUACGACCUCGAUGUUGGAUCAGGACAUCCUAAUGGUGCAGCAGCUAUUAAGGGUUCGUUUGUUCAACGAUUAACAGUCCYACGUGAUCUGAGUUCAGACCGGAG